rnacentral:rRNA from 1 species
GAUGAACGCUAGCGGCAGGCUUAACACAUGCAAGUCGAGGGGCAGCGUGGAGCAGCAAUGCUCUGACGGCGACCGGCGCACGGGUGAGUAACGCGUAUCCAACCUUCCGUACACUCAGGGAUAGCCUUUCGAAAGAAAGAUUAAUACCUGAUGGUAUGAUGAGAUCGCAUGGUAUCAUCAUUAAAGAUUUAUCGGUGUACGAUGGGGAUGCGUUCCAUUAGGUAGUAGGCGGGGUAACGGCCCACCUAGCCUACGAUGGAUAGGGGUUCUGAGAGGAAGGUCCCCCCANAUUGGAACUGAGACACGGUCCAAAACUCCUACGGGAGCAGCAGUGAGGAAUAUUGGGUCCAAUGGACGGGAGUCUGAACCAGCCAAGUAGCGUGAAGGAUGACUGCCCUAUGGGUUGUAAACUUCUUUUAUACGGGAAUAAAGUGGUCCACGUGUGGAUUUUUGUAUGUACCGUAUGAAUAGGAUCGGCUAACUCCGUGCCAGCAGCC